CCCUUCCAGUGGCAAAGCUAACGCGUUAAGUCUGCCGCCUGGGAAGUACGAGCGCAAGCUUAAAACUCAAAGGAAUAGGCGGGAAUUUGCACAAGCAGUGGAUCAUGUGGUUCAAUUCGACACUGAGCGAGGAACCUCACCAGGGCUUGAAAUUCUAGUGUAAGCCUUAGGAAACUAAGGCCCCCGCAAGGCACUAGGACAGGUGCUGCACGGCUGUCGUCAGCUCGUCAUGUGAAUGGUUUCCUUAAGUGGAUUAACGAGCGCAACCCCUAUUGUCUGUUAUACGUGUCAGACGAGACUGCUCCGGUAACGGAGAGGAAGGUGGGGAUGACGUCAAGUCAGCGUGGCCCUUUGAUGCCCUGGGCUACACACAUGAUACAAUGGGUGUUACAAUGGGUCGCUAAGCCGCGAGGCGGAGCUAAUCCCAUCAAAGGCACCCUCAGUUCGGAUAGGAGGCUGAAACUUGCCUCCUUGAAGCUGGAAUUGCUAGUAAUCGCUGAUCAGAACGCAGCGGUGAAUACGUUCUCA
rnacentral:rRNA from 1 species